rnacentral:sRNA from 1 species
UGAGGCGUCUUCUGCCAGCUCCUGAGGCUGCGGCACAGCACUCCGCCCGCCUUCAUCUCCGGGGAGAGGCUCUUUGAAUUUUCUCACUAAACAAACAUUGAUUGCAACCCCAGAAGAAACGAAGACUGAAAGAGCUGUGCUGGGGAGCAGGGGUUUUGGGGUUUCAGAGUUUUAGGGUUGCGUUUGGAUGGCGGCUCCCUGGACCAGGUGCUGAAAGAGGCCAAGAGGAUUCCCGAGGAGAUCCUGGGGAAAGUCAGCAUCGCGGUUCUCCGGGGCUUGGCGUACCUCCGAGAGAAGCACCAGAUCAUGCACCGAGAUGUGAAGCCCUCCAACAUCCUCGUGAACUCUAGAGGGGAGAUCAAGCUGUGUGACUUUGGGGUGAGCGGCCAGCUCAUCGACUCCAUGGCCAACUCCUUCGUGGGCACGCGCUCCUACAUGGCUCCGGAG